GUAGGUGGCAAGCGUUGUCCGGAAUUAUUGGGCGUAAAGCGCGCGCAGGCGGUUCUUUAAGUCUGAUGUGAAAGCCCACGGCUCAACCGUGGAGGGUCAUUGGAAACUGGAGAACUUGAGUACAGAAGAGGAAAGCGGAAUUCCACGUGUAGCGGUGAAAUGCGUAGAGAUGUGGAGGAACACCAGUGGCGUAGGCGGCUUUCUGGUCUGUAACUGACGCUGAGGCGCGAAAGCGUGGGGAGCAAACAGGAUUAGAUACCCUGGUAGUCCACGCCGUAAACGAUGAGUGCUAAGUGUUAGGGGGGUUUCCGCCCCCCUUAGUGCUGCAGCUAACGCAUUAAGCACUCCGCCUGGGAGUACGGCCGCAAGGCUG
rnacentral:rRNA from 1 species